rnacentral:Y_RNA from 1 species
GGCUGGUCUGAAGGUAGUAGGUUAUCUAAACUGAUUGUUCACUCAGUUACACCUUGAACUCCUUGUUCUACACUUCCCCACUUCUCACCACUGCACUUGACUGUCUAAA